rnacentral:rRNA from 1 species
UGUCCUCCUAUUUUCAGUUGGUUUUGGCAGCGCGAGGACUAGGGUAAUGAUUAAUAGGGAUAGUUGGGGGCAUUAAUAUUUAAUUGUCAGAGGUGAAAUUCUUGGAUUUAUGAAAGAUUAACUUCUGCGAAAGCAUCUGCCAAGGAUGUUUUCAUUAAUCAAGAACGAAAGUUAGGGGAUCGAAGACGAUCAGAUACCGUCGUAGUCUUAACCAUAAACGAUGCCGACCAGCGAUUAGGAGACGUUGAAUACAAAACACCACCAUCGGUGCGGUCGUCCUUGGCGUUGGUCUUCAAAAGCCAGCGCGGGGGUGG